UACGAAGGGGGCUAGCGUUGUUCGGAUUUACUGGGCGUAAAGCGCACGUAGGCGGAUUUUUAAGUCAGGGGUGAAAUCCCGGGGCUCAACCCCGGAACUGCCUUUGAUACUGGAAGUCUUGAGUAUGGUAGAGGUGAGUGGAAUUCCCAGUGUAGCGGUGAAAUGCGUAGAUAUUGGGAGGAACACCAGUGGCGAAGGCGGCUCACUGGACCGGUACUGACGCUGAGGCGCGAAAGCGUGGGGAGCAAACGGGG
rnacentral:rRNA from 1 species